rnacentral:rRNA from 1 species
CCUACGGGAGGCAGCAGUGAGGAAUAUUGGUCAAUGGACGAGAGUCUGAACCAGCCAAGCAGCGUGAAGGAUGACUGCCCUAUGUGUUGUAAACUUCUUUUAUAAAGGAAUAAAACGCGGCACGUGUGCCUUUUUGCAUGUACUUUAUGAAUAAGGAUCGGCUAACUCCGUGCCAGCAGCCGCGGUAAUACGGAGGAUCCGAGCGUUAUCCGGAUUUAUUGGGUUUAAAGGGAGCGUAGAGGGGUUGUUAAGUCAGGUGUGAAAGUUUGCGGCUCAACCGUAAGAUUGCAGUUGAAACUGGCGGUCUUGAGUGCGGUAGAGGUGAGCGGAAUUCGUGGUGUAGCGGUGAAAUGCUUAGAUAUCACGAAGAACUCCGAUUGCGAAGGCAGCUCACUGGACUGCAACUGACGCUGAGGCUCGAAAGUGUGGGUAUCAAACAGGAUUAGAUACCCGGGUAGUC